AUUAUAUUUUUGUUGCUUCUUUUGAUGUUCCUUCUAGUAUAUCCUUUGUAUUCAUGACGUGCUCCACGAGUUUUGAACCGGCGGUGCGUUUGAAAAAUAAGAGCGGAGAUGUGAGCUGAGUUUCAUCGCAUCACAAAUGUCAACCUGCGAAAACAGUUUUAUUUUGACCUGGACAGACAGACGCCACGGAUGCUGAUCUUUUUGAGACAGAAGGCAGCACGAACCGGAAGGCUCUAUGCGACAUUCUGCACCUCUAUGAUAAACAGCAAGAGCAGACUGCUGAUGUCAAAGGUACUCCUGUCCUGUACUGGCUUCUAAUAUACAAACGUGAAGAGGACCCACAAUUCUUCAAAGUUUGGAAUAUUAAAGAGUCACCAGAGGCAGACAUCAGCAGCACCUCUGUUGGCAUUCUGACCGUCAGCAACAACAACACAAGUUCAGUGCAUUUCUGUCCGCUCAGUACAGCAGUUGUGGUGGAAGAUGAGCUUGUGGUAGGCGACAUUCCCAAAAAUGUUUUGAGUGCUAAUGUUUGUAGGGAAAGGGCACCCAAAGAAAAGACAGUUUUAUGUGGGAAAAGUGUAAAAAAAAAAAAAAAA